UGGGGAAUAUUGCACAAUGGGCGCAAGCCUGAUGCAGCCAUGCCGCGUGUGUGAAGAAGGCCUUCGGGUUGUAAAGCACUUUCAGCGAGGAGGAAGGUGGUGGACUUAAUACGUUCAUCAAUUGACGUUACUCGCAGAAGAAGCACCGGCUAACUCCGUGCCAGCAGCCGCGGUAAUACGGAGGGUGCAAGCGUUAAUCGGAAUUACUGGGCGUAAAGCGCACGCAGGCGGUUUGUUAAGUCAGAUGUGAAAUCCCCGGGCUCAACCUGGGAACUGCAUUUGAAACUGGCAAGCUAGAGUCUCGUAGAGGGGGGUAGAAUUCCAGGUGUAGCGGUGAAAUGCGUAGAGAUCUGGAGGAAUACCGGUGGCGAAGGCGGCCCCCUGGACGAAGACUGACGCUCAGGCUGCGAAAGCGUGGGGCAGCAAACAGGAUUAGAUACCCUGGUAGUCCACGCUGUAAACGAUGUCGAUUUGGAGGUUGUGCCCUUGAGGCGUGGCUUCCGGAGCUAACGCGUUAAAUCGACCGCCUGGGGAGUACGGCCGCAAGGUUAAAACUCAAAGG
rnacentral:rRNA from 1 species